UGGGUUAGUUUUAAUUGGAUGUAUACUAUUAGGAGAGGACAUGUUGUUAAUCCCAUCACUAUUGUUCAAAUGGAGUGCCCCUUUGGACUCGUGACAUUGAGGAGGAGAUAGUUCCUCUCUGUAGAAACUUGAGCUUCUUGGUCUUUCUGAGGAUCAGAAGCGGCUCGUAACUAUGUGGACCUCAUUUGUUAAGAAACAUAGUGUGCUGGUAGAUGGCCAUAUGAAUUGACAUACGAAGCUCCAAGGUAUAAUAAUUAUUAAUAUUCUUCAUCUUUGAUUAUGUGUUCAUCAAAACGCAAAUACUUGAACGAAAGGAAUGAUUUUCCACAUCAAAAAGACUUUACUUAAAAAGAAAAUUUUAAGACGAAUCUGAUGAUCUGUUUUUACUCUUUGAAUCGAUAGAAUAUCUUAUCUUAUUCCUUAUCUUCAAAUCAAAAUUAUAUUCUAAUAUAUUGUUUCCAUUUGAUCUGUAUAUUAAUUUUCUGCAAUAGUUCCAACAACAAUGUCUUGAAUUUCUUGAAAAGUGUUCUCUUAUCCCAAUCAAAAUCUCCAAAUUGGGUUGCUCUUAAUGCGUUUCAGAGACCUCGGAGAACAGUGGUACAACCUCCAUCACCAAUCCAUUGUUUGACCUCCUCCCCUAUUGUAGAGAGGCCUUUCAUGUCUGCAUCCUGCAUAUAUUAUGAAUAUGUGUGAAAACGAUGACCUGUGAUUGGAAUAUAGACUGUAAUUGUAUUUCAAAUACUAGAAAGAGGCUAUUGCUAACCCUGAUAACUGGAACAAAGAACCCAUUAUCAGGAUAAU